ACGCUCGACACCUACGGGAAGCAGCAGUGGGGAAUAUUGCACAAUGGGGGAAACCCUGAUGCAGCGAUGCCGCGUGAAGGAAGAAGUAUCUCGGUAUGUAAACUUCUAUCAGCAGGGAAGAAAAUGACGGUACCUGACUAAGAAGCCCCGGCUAACUACGUGUCAGCAGCCGCGGUAAUCUGAGGCGGGCGUGGCAAGGC
rnacentral:rRNA from 1 species